rnacentral:snRNA from 1 species
UGAUUUGUGGGCAAUCUUGCUGAGUUAUCUGUUACCCCACUAAUUGCCACGUUGAUUUGGCUAAACUGGCUGACUAGGCAGAUGUCCCCUUCCUCAAUCACUGCUCCGUGUGCAUCCCUCCCGAAGCUGUACUCUGGGUCCAAGAGGACAAUCUUCCCCAAAUAGAGGAGGACCAGUCUUCGGUUAAGGGUGUAUAAGUAACUGCUUCUCUGCUAGAACCUCCAAAUAAUCUCUAAUUGUUGAAGCUGUAUACUUUUAAUUGUUUUCCUCAUGAAACAAUGUAUUGAACUGUAGGUGAGCAUUCAUUAUCAU